AGAGAGAGAGAGAGAGAGAGAGAGAGAGAGAGAGAGAGAGAGAGAGAGAGAGAGAGAGAGAGAGAGAGAGAGAGAGAGAGAGAGAGAGAGAGAGAGAGAGAGAGAGAGAGAGAGAGAGAGAGAGAGAGAGAGAGAGAGAGAGAGAGAGAGAGAGAGAGAGAGAGAGAGAGAGAGAGAGAGAGAGAGAGAGAGAGAGAGAGAGAGAGAGAGAGAGAGAGAGAGAGAGAGAGAGAGAGAGAGAGAGAGAGAGAGAGAGAGAGAGAGAGAGAGAGAGAGAGAGAGAGAGAGAGAGAGAGAGAGAGAGAGAGAGAGAGAGAGAGAGAGAGAGAGAGCUGAUGUCUGCGGCGUCUCUGAGUCAGUGUGGAGCCGUCUGUGCUCGCUAACAGGAAAGCUGAAGUGCGUCCGUUUGGGUGCGUUUCCGUAUUUUCACCAGCGUGUCGUGCGGAGAUUGUUCGCUCCGUCUGAUUGGUCAGGUUUGGGUGCGCUCCCUAUAAUCACCAGCGUGUCCAGCAGACUGCUUGGCGUAGUUUAAACAAAGAAGAAGAAGAAACAGCUUCAGUGGUGGUGGUCAUGGCGGACGCAGAGAUUAGCGGGAGUACCGAACAAACGGAGGCGGCCUGAUCCACCGACACGAGGAAGAGGAGGAGGAACGUGUUCGGAAAAAGGGCGUGAGUCGAGACAUCGGUUUUCUGGAGAUUCUAUAGAUUCAGAAAAUCCGACAAUGAUCCAAAAACAAAACUAUCAAAGAUAAGGUGACCAGACGUCCAUGAUCUCCGAAUUGGAUGACCUGUCCCCGGCUAACGCUGUCUCCGAAAAUGUCUCCGAUUUAAGCGUUUCAUGAAUGAGAACAAAAAUGUUGUGUGUGGGCUCGAACACCGGUUAUUACAGUAGGUAAUGACCGUUGUUCUAACCGGUUCUUCAGUGUCAGAAGGUCCGACUAAGAGUCUGAAGCUGGUGGAAGAAGAAAGGAGGAGCUCUGACUUUGUUAAACUCAGAUCACUGUGGAGGAGAAGUUCUGUUGUCCAGAUACUGACCUGUUGGAAGCUGAUCUUCACCCACAUCAUGUUCUCAGGAGUUCAGGAGUUCUUCAAACAGUGGUGGCUGACGAGAUCAGGCGUCAGCCGUCCUGCUGACAGCUGAUUGGCUCAAACCGAGGUGAGUAACAGACGUUCAACUGUAACCUACAUUCUUGUUUUCAGAAUCAUGAGAGACCAUCAAGCUGGGA